rnacentral:lncRNA from 1 species
ACUAUUUUCUCUGAUCCCUUCUUCCUCACCUAACAUCAGAGUAGCUGGAGGUGAGAAGAAAGAGGACCAAGAGAGAGUUCAGAGAUGGACUGUGUCUUCUCAUUCACCAGCUCCAAGGUGCCAGAGUAAAGAAAGAAAAGUGCAGAUCACAAUCUCAUCCAUUCUACAGGUGGGGCCUUUGCUUGGAGAGGGAGAGAGGUCUAGGGUAGCCCGGGAAUGCUGGGGCUGGAGCCUGCUUGCCUGGGACACUGGAUAGAAUCUGCAGGCCUCUAAGAAAAGCACUGCAUGUGGCCACUUCCAGCCUGGCAAUGGGUCAUGGUGUUCCUGCAGAGGCCAAAGACUGACACAUGGGGAGACGGGUGAUGAGACAUGUGUCUGAUAUCCCUUUCAAGACCUUGUUCUUAUUAUGACCCUGGGAGAAGAAAACUUCACAGUGAUGAAAGCAGUGAAAUGCACUCAGGCACAAGGAAGGGGCUUGAAAUUGGGUGUCCCCAAGCUAUCAUCAGUUCCUAUGUGACAUGGAUGGGACCCAGAAGCUCCCACACGCCCCUUAAAAGGAUAAAUAGAGAUAAUUGGGAGCAUGGUCAAGGAUCUUGCCUGAAGGUCAGUGUAGUGGAGAAAAAAGAGCCAUCUUGGAACUCUCUGGGCCAGGAUCAUGCCCAUAUACUAGGAAGAAUUCAUAGCACCAUCCAGAGCUGAUGUGCUGAUGGGGGCCCAGUCAGCAGGGACAGUAACUGGGCACUGCUGAGCUAUGUACUACCUGAAUGACACAGAUACCAGCAGCUGAUGACAGCAGGAUGAGCAUUGACUCUUGUCCCAGAACUAGUGUGGACUCUGAAUGGUGAUCUGAGACCCUCCUGCCUUCAAAUCAUGAGGACACUUCUGCCCAACACCCUCUAUAUUCAGAUGCUCUCUUGCUGGGGACAGAGAAGGGAGAAAGAGGUAACCCAGGUUGAUGUUCGAAGAGUUCAGAGACCUUUUCAAAUGGUUGGGAUUGAGAAACAAAAGAAGGAAGCUUCUGUUGGUACUGUUGAUGUUUUCCCUGAAGUUGCAGAAUCAGAAGGGGUGGUAAAAGCUUUUCCUG